GAAAUGCGAUAAGUAAUGUGAAUUGCAGAAUUCAGUGAAUCAUCGAAUCUUUGAACGCACCUUGCGCUCCCUGGUAUUCCGGGGAGCAUGCCUGUUUGAGUGUCAUGGUAUUCUCAACCUUCAUAACUUUUGUUAUCGAAGGCUUGGACUUGGAGGUUGUGCUGGCUUCUAGUUAAGUCGGCUCCUCUUAAAUGUAUUAGCGUGAGUGUAACGGAUCGCUUCGGUGUGAUAAUUAUCUGCGCCGUGGUCGUGAAGUAACAUAAGCUUGCGCUUCUAACCGUCCUUCAGUUGGACAAUUACUUUGACAUCUGACCUCAAAUCAGGUAGGACUACCCGCUGAACUUAA
rnacentral:misc_RNA from 1 species